GAUGAACGCUGGCGGCGUGCUUAACACAUGCAAGUCGAACGAUGAGGCCCAGCUUGCUGGGUGGAUUAGUGGCGAACGGGUGAGUAACACGUGAGUAACCUGCCCUUGACUCUGGGAUAAGCCCGGGAAACUGGGUCUAAUACCGGAUAGGAGCGCCUGUCGCAUGACGGGUGUUGGAAAGAUUUUUCGGUCAUGGAUGGACUCGCGGCCUAUCAGCUUGUUGGUGAGGUAAUGGCUCACCAAGGCGACGACGGGUAGCCGGCCUGAGAGGGUGACCGGCCACACUGGGACUGAGACACGGCCCAGACUCCUACGGGAGGCAGCAGUGGGGAAUAUUGCACAAUGGGCGGAAGCCUGAUGCAGCGACGCCGCGUGAGGGAUGACGGCCUUCGGGUUGUAAACCUCUUUCAGUAGGGAAGAAGCGAAAGUGACGGUACCUGCAGAAGAAGCACCGGCUAACUACGUG
rnacentral:rRNA from 1 species